rnacentral:rRNA from 1 species
GACGGAGGAUGCAAGUGUUAUCCGGAAUCACUGGGCGUAAAGCGUCUGUAGGUGGUCAAAUAAGUCAACUGUUAAAUCUUGAGGCUCAACCUCAAAAUCGCAGUCGAAACUAUUAGACUAGAGUAUAGUAGGGGUAAAGGGAAUUUCCAGUGGAGCGGUGAAAUGCGUAGAGAUCCGGAGGAACACCAAAGGCGAAGGCAGUGUCCUGGGGAGUACCUGACGCUCAGGUGCGAAAGCCAGGGGAGCGAACGGG